GCUUCUCUUGAGAGCGGCGGACGGGUGAGUAAUACCUAGGAAUCUGCCUGGUAGUGGGGGAUAACGUUCGGAAACGGACGCUAAUACCGCAUACGUCCUACGGGAGAAAGCAGGGGACCUUCGGGCCUUGCGCUAUCAGAUGAGCCUAGGUCGGAUUAGCUAGUUGGUGAGGUAAUGGCUCACCAAGGCUACGAUCCGUAACUGGUCUGAGAGGAUGAUCAGUCACACUGGAACUGAGACACGGUCCAGACUCCUACGGGAGGCAGCAGUGGGGAAUAUUGGACAAUGGGCGAAAGCCUGAUCCAGCCAUGCCGCGUGUGUGAAGAAGGUCUUCGGAUUGUAAAGCACUUUAAGUUGGGAGGAAGGGUGUUAACCUAAUACGUUAGUACUUUGACGUUACCGACAGAAUAAGCACCGGCUAACUCUGUGCCAGCAGCCGCGGUAAUACAGAGGGUGCAAGCGUUAAUCGGAAUUACUGGGCGUAAAGCGCGCGUAGGUGGUUUGUUAAGUUGAAUGUGAAAUCCCCGGGCUCAACCUGGGAACUGCAUCCAAAACUGGCAAGCUAGAGUAUGGUAGAGGGUAGUGGAAUUUCCUGUGUA
rnacentral:rRNA from 1 species